GAAACGAAACAAACCAUGCUGUUUCCGUUCUUGUCUCUGCUCGCUCUCAACCUUGUGCCAACUGCCAAGUAAAUAUCAAAGCCGAUAUGGAUUGAAAUUGUUGGGGCAUGAAAUGGACUAGGGAGCAGCAAGCCGGAGCAGACUAGGAGACGACCGGGCGCCGCCCUUUGCCAGGUAGGUGUUCGUCGGGCCCUUCGCCGGCGACGAGCUUCCACAAGAUAGAAGAAUGCGCAGAUAGUCUAAGCACCCGAUCCAGACAUCAAGGCAACAAUGCUGCACCACCUUAGUGCGCAUGUCUCUGCGCACCCAGCGAUUCGUUCACCCACUAGGCUUGCUUGUUCUUCCAUAUUUUGUAACAAAGCAAACAGCAGAAUCACCGCUUCACCAUCAACCAACCGUGCAAAGUUGCUCCUGCUGCGGGGGUGGCAUUCUACGAGGCAGUGGCGCACCAUCCCUCUCGCCAGUGGCCAGUCACUGCCAGGAUACAGUCCUGACGAUGCUGAUCAAAGCCUUCAACCAAGCGACAACAUCUCUUUCGCUGCUGCAAAGGAGGCUGUCAUAGGAAUAAACAGUGGCCUGAAUUCUGUGGGUGUCAGAAGUGAGCUAAUUCUUCUAGCUCUACCGGCAGUCUUUGGUCAAGCUAUUGAUCCAAUGGCGCAACUUAUGGAGACUGCAUACAUUGGUAGAUUAGGUGCAUUGGAAUUGGCUUCGGCUGGUAUUGGUGUAUCGAUUUUUAAUAUUGUGUCAAAGAUCUUCAACAUACCGUUGUUGAGCAUUGCGACUUCAUUUGUGGCAGAGGAUAUUUCUAAGAGUGCUAUCAAGCAUCCUAGUUCAGGCAAAUUGGAGCUUACAUCUGUAUCAUCUGCCUUGAUAUUAGCUGCUGGAAUUGGUGUAAUUGAAGCAUUAGCAUUGUUCCUAGGAUCAGGAUUGUUUCUUAAACUAAUGGGCGUGUCACCUGUCUCUCCAAUGUAUAAGCCUGCAAAACUCUUUCUUUCAUUGAGAGCUCUGGGAGCCCCUGCAAAUGUGCUUAUGUUGGCAGUCCAAGGUAUCUUUCGGGGAUUCAAGGAUACCAAGACUCCAGUGUUUUAUAUAGGAUUGGGCAAUCUCUCUGCUGUAGUCCUUCUUCCUCUACUUAUAUAUGGCUUUCAGCUUGGCAUAACUGGAGCUGCAAUUUCUACUGUUGUGUCCCAGUACAUUAUUACAAUUCUUCUUAUUCGGUCUCUUAGUAAAAGAGCAGUUCUACUUCCUCCGAGACUAGACCAGUUAGAGUUCGGUGGAUAUCUAAAAUCUGGUGGUAUGCUGCUGGGGAGAACUCUCUCAAUUCUAUUAACUAUGACCAUUGGUACAUCAAUGGCUGCUCGACAAGGCCCAACAGCUAUGGCUGCUCAUCAGAUUUGUUUGCAAGUAUGGCUUGCUGUGUCUUUGCUUGCUGAUGCUUUAGCUGUUUCUGCCCAGGCACUAAUAGCAAGCUCUUAUGCAAUAGUGGACUACAAAAGGGUUCAGAAGAUAGCAAUGUUUGCGUUGCAGAUAGGAGUAGUUAGUGGAUUAGCCUUGGCUGUUGGUUUGUAUGCCUCAUUUGGCAAUAUAGCUAGACUAUUUACCAGUGACCAAGAGGUCCUAAUGGUUGUCAAAUCAUGUGCAUUGUUUGUCUGUGCCAGUCAACCAAUUAAUGCCCUGGCAUUCAUCUUUGAUGGUCUACACUACGGUGUAUCAGAUUUUGACUAUGUUGCUCAAGCUACUAUUGCGGUCGGGGUCAUGUCAUCACUGGUCCUGUUAUGGGCUCCAUCUGUAUUCGGCUUGGCUGGAGUCUGGGUUGGUUUGACUACACUCAUGGGGUUGCGCAUGGCUGCAGGCAUCUUGAGGUUGCUAUGGAAAUGGGGUCCUUGGUCAUUUUUGCAUGAGGAGCCAUAAAUUGAGGUUUGUCAAUUAUCAGCCUUUGCAGUUCGGAAUAUGUCUUCGUUCUGCAUGUCAGGACUCACUCAACCCGUACUCUGGCGCUCCCCUGGCUCAAACAAGAUCUGACUUCAUUGCAAUUCUUGUUGGGAGAACUCUGAGCUGCUAGACCCUUGGAGCUGCCACAUGCUGCUGUAGUGCUGUCAUGAUACAAGCACAAGGAGCGAUACGGAGUGUCCAUGCAGCCAAUUAUCUCACUUGGCACAGGUGCUUCAGCAGAGGUAGAUUUGGAUCCAGUUGUAGGCCAUAUGUACAUUUUCUGUGGCGUGUUGUUUCCAGAUCAAUGUCAGCAGAGACUAGUUUCAUAACAUGAGAAGGUGCUAUUGUUCAGCUCCGUUUUGUAACAUUUGCAGUGAUGUCUAUUAAUUUAGUUGAAGCCAACGUCA